rfam:Sporosarcina sp. HYO08 scaffold_6, whole genome shotgun sequence.
AGUAAGGAUAGAGGCGCAAAGACCAUUAGUACACAAUUAGAGGAUGAUGAGAUCCUGUGAAGGUUGUAGAAAGGGGAAUUUGCCGAAGUGGAGAGAACCUCAUUGUCUCGAAGCUGGUUCUGGGUUGAAUAAGCUCAGGAUUGUCAUAUAGGUAACUAUAUGGAGGGCUAUCUUACGC